rnacentral:lncRNA from 10 species
UGUGACUGGAUCUGGCCAGUCAGAGAAGUUCAUCCCUCUCCGCUCGCUGAUUCGCUCCAAAGAUAGGCUACUGAGCCAAUCGGAGCCCACGAAACACCGUCUCCAUCCCUGCGCCGGGACUGGAGAGGCUUACUCUCUCCUGCUGAUGCUGCAGCUGCUGGGAUGCCAGGAGGGGAACCGCCUGAGGAAAGUGCUGAGAGAAAAGAGAGGGAGGGAUACAGACCGGGCCCAGAUGAGUUUGCGCUGAAUCUGAAGUCGAUGUUGCUUUGGUUAAAGGAAGAACACAAAUAUCCUGCCAAAAGGUAUUCUGUUCAGUGCAAAAGAAACAGUCCCACAUCCUGCUCUCUCCCACAACACACUAUGCAUUCAGGCUUAUUAUAUUUUACAUGCCCU